AUUAAAUAUGACGCAUUUCCUGCCAUUUUUUCCCUACUUUGUUCGGGAGGAAUUAAUGCUCCAUAAAUAAUUGCACAAAGCCUUUAUUCGUGUCACUUCUAUUUAGCUUCAACAGCCUGAAGGAAAGCUCCUCCACACGAGACACCAGAUAAGAUUUUAAUUUUGAUUACUAAGCGAAUCUGUCAAUAAUUAAAAUGGCAAGUUGUAUCAUCUUGAUUCUACUCACAGUGGUAUUUUUGAAUUCCGAAGCGAUACCUUACAGAUGCAACAACGGUCUUCCUCCUAUUAACAAAUAUUGUACAGAACAUCCUGAAGUAACGAGAUGGAAAUUCGACUCUUACUUUACAGAAAUAUGCAUUGAAACAACAGAUCCAAUUUGUAUUCCUCAUAACAAAGGCCGUGGUUACAAUGAGAGUCGGUAUUUUGAUCGUCUUGAAGAUUGCAAGAGAAUUUGUGAAGGUAAAUGAAGCAAGAUUUUUGUAUAUUUUACUCCAUUAAAUAAAAAAAUGUUUUCCACAAAACUGUACAUAGGGAUAAAUUUCCCUAUUAAUAUCUGUAUUAUUCUGUAAUUUCACUAUUAAUAAUCUAAUGAUAAGCACAUUAGCGUCUUA